rnacentral:ncRNA from 1 species
CGCAUCCUACGUGGCGAUUUGUUCACCGGAUUGCGGGCCACGUUAAAUAUUCCGCUAAAGAGGUCGGUCGCGAGCCGUC